rnacentral:rRNA from 1 species
UAGGGAAUCUUCGGCAAUGGACGACAGUCUGCCCGAGCAACGCCGCGUGAGUGAAGAAGGUUUUCGGAUCGUAAAACUCUGUUGUUAGAGAAGAACAAGGACGUUAGUAACUGAACGUCCCCUGACGGUAUCUAACCAGAAAGCCACGGCUAACUACGUGCCAGCAGCCGCGGUAAUACGUAGGUGGCAAGCGUUGUCCGGAUUUAUUGGGCGUAAAGCGAGCGCAGGCGGUUUCUUAAGUCUGAUGUGAAAGCCCCCGGCACAACCGGGGAGGGUCAUUGGAAACUGGGAGACUUGGGUGCAGAAGAGGAGAGUGUAAUUCCAUGUGUAGCGGUGAGAUGCGUAGUUAUAUGGAGGAACACCAGUGGCGAAGGCGGCUCGCUGGUCUGUAACUGACGCUGAGGCUCGAAAGCGUGGGGAGCAAACAGG